rnacentral:rRNA from 1 species
GACGUAGGGCGCGAGCGUUGUCCGGAUUUAUUGGGCGUAAAGAGCUCGUAGGCGGCCUGUUGCGUCCGCUGUGAAAUCCCGGGGCUCAACCCCGGGCCUGCAGUGGAUACGGGCUGGCUAGAGGCAGGCAGGGGAGAACGGAAUUCCUGGUGUAGCGGUGAAAUGCGCAGAUAUCAGGAGGAACACCGGUGCGAAGGCGACUUACUGGACACAUAUUGACGCUGAGGUGCGAAAGCGUGGGGAGCAAACAGG